AUUGAACGCUGGCGGCAGGCCUAACACAUGCAAGUCGAGCGGAGCGGCGGACGGGUGAGUAAUGCCUAGGAAUCUGCCUGGUAGUGGGGGAUAACGUCCGGAAACGGGCGCUAAUACCGCAUACUAUCAGAUGAGUCUCGGGCGGAUUAGCUCGUUGGUGGGGUAAAGGCUUACCAAGGCGACGACCCGUCACUGGUCUGAGAGGAUGAUCAGUCACACUGGAACUGAGACACGGUCCAGACUCCUACGGGAGGCAGCAGUGGGGAAUAUUGGACAAUGGGCGAAAGCCUGAUCCAGCCAGGCCGCGUGAGUGAAGAAGGUCUUCGGAUUGUAAAGCUCUUUAAGUAGGGAGGCGUUACCAACAGAAUAAGCACCGGCUAACUACGUGCCAGCAGCCGCGGUAAUUC
rnacentral:rRNA from 1 species